GCUUGGGUACCUUGUGUGCGCAGCUCGUCACAUUUAAAGCAUCGCACAAGCUACUGCAUUAUUUGUGCGCGAGGUUUUGUUUGCCUGCGAGCUGGCAGCAGGUUGCCGUGAACACUUUUCCUGAGUCGUUCUCGUUAACGAGGCUCUCUCAAUGAUAAAUACCCAAUCAGAGGAAGCCAGCGUGGAUCUAAUUGCGUGAUACUGUGAGCGCCGGGUCGUCUUCGUGUGCCGCCAUUAUCGAAAUUCAAGCUGAAACGGUGGACUAUACGCACGUGUACUGGAGACCGUGGUUCUCGGCGACAGCGCUGCCAAAGUGAGCCUGGUUCGUGCUGUCAAGCAAUACCCUGAGCUCCGGGAAGACAAACAGCAGGCAUGCAUCCCUUCUCUUCAACAAGGCAACUCUCCAACCACGCAGAUGCUGAGGCCAGUCGGCGUCGUGUCAUUGUGCUUUGCGUCGGCAUGCCUAAACGGUGUAGUCUUCGCCCACGAGGCACGACCGUGCAGACAACGUGACCAGGAACUGCGUCUGUGCGCCCAGACGUGUCCCCCAUGCGCACGACCCGACCGGAAUUAGCUGCACAUCUAAACUCC